rnacentral:rRNA from 1 species
ACGGGGGUUGCGAGCGUUGUCAGGAAUUACUAGGCGUAAAGGGCAGGCAGGCGGAUCCAUAAGUUUUUCGUUUAAGGCGUCAGCUUAACUGGCGUACGGCGGUGGAUACUGUGUUGCUUGAAUGCGGGAGGGGAAGAGAGAAUUACGGGUAUACAGGUGGAAUUCGUAGAGAUCAGGACGAGCAUCAGUGGCGAAGGCGCCCAUCCGGAUCGCAACUGACGCUGAGCCGCGAAAGUGUGUGGAUCGGACAG